rnacentral:rRNA from 1 species
AUGGCCACGACAAGCACAGGAUCGUCGGAUGCCAUCCACCACGGGCAGAGUCGCCGCACACCUCCACCAAGCCGCAGACGCCCGACUUCCAUCUACAACACGACCUACAAGCCACCCUUUUCUACACCUCGUCGGAAGGGGAGAGUGAUCGCACCGGCCACCCCCCGCGCCCGCGUCCAUCAACCUCAAUGCCACACCUAUGGCCGGCGGGUUGCCCACCGGGGGGAAAGAGAAGCGCCCGAGGGGGAGACUAACUCCAAGAAGAAGGAGAAGCGCGAUGCGGUGACAUUUGCCUUGCAAGAAAAUUUGCAAAGCAUGAUGACCCAAAAGGAAGCAAGGGAGGAGAAGUAUAAGCAAGAGAAAGAGAGCAAAUGA